CCUACGGGUGGCUGCAGUGAGGAAUAUUGGUCAAUGGACGAGAGUCUGAACCAGCCAAGUAGCGUGAAGGAUGCCUGCCCUAUGGGUUGUAAACUUCUUUUAUAAAGGAAUAAAACGGGGCACGUGUGCAUUUUUGACUGUGAUUUAUGAAUACGGAUCGGCUAACUCCGUGCCAGCAGCCGCGGUAAUACGGAGGACCCGAGCGUUAUCCGGAUUUAUUGGGUUUAAAGGGAGCGUAGAUGGGUUGUUAAGUCAGUUGUUAAAGUUUGCGGAUAAACCGUAAAAUCGCAAUUGAGACUGGCAGUCUUGAGUACAGUUGCGGUAAGUGGAAUUCGUGGUGUAGCGGUGAAAUGCGUAGAUAUCACGAAGAACCCCGAUUGCGAAGGCAGCUUACUAAACUGUGACUGACAUUGAUGCUCGAAAGUGUGGGUAUCAAACAGGAUUAGAUACCCCAGUAGUC
rnacentral:rRNA from 1 species